CACGGAGUUAGCCGGGACUUCUUCUGCGGGUACCGUCAUUAUCUUCCCCGCUGAAAGGGGUUUACAACCCUAAGGCCUUCUUCACCCACGCGGCAUGGCUGGAUCAGGCUUUCGCCCAUUGUCCAAUAUUCCCCACUGCUGCCUCCCGUAGGAGUCUGGGCCGUGUCUCAGUCCCAGUGUGGCUGGUCAUCCUCUCAGACCAGCUACGGAUCGUCGCCUUGGUGAGCCAUUACCCCACCAACUAGCUAAUCCGACGCGGGCCGAUCUUUCGGCAAUGAAUCUUUCCCCGAAGGCGUAUCCGGUAUUAGCCCAAGUUUCCCUGGGUUAUUCCGAACCGAAAGGCACGUUCCCACGCGUUACUCACCCGUCUCGCCACUGUCCACCACCCGAAGGUGGCUUCUCGUUCGACUUGCAUGUGUUAGGCCUGCCGCCAGCGUUCGUCUGAGCCAGGAGUCAAACUCU
rnacentral:rRNA from 1 species